rnacentral:rRNA from 1 species
AUACGGAGGAUCCGAGCGUUAUCCGGAUUUAUUGGGUUUAAAGGGUGCGCAGGCGGGAUGUUAAGUCGGCGGUGAAAUUUUGCAGCUCAACUGUAAAAGUGCCUUCGAUACUGGCCUCCUUGAGUGUGGAUGAAGUAGGCGGAAUUUGUGGUGUAGCGGUGAAAUGCUUAGAUAUCACGAGGAACUCCGAUUGCGCAGGCAGCUAGCUAAGCUAUAACUGACGCUCAUGCACGAAAGCGUGGGGAUC